rnacentral:lncRNA from 1 species
CCCCAGGCUUAGAGACGUGAACGGACUCGCCCCAUGUCCCCGAAGCCAGAGAGGGGCGGAGCAAAGGUUUCAAAUCAGUUUCCCGGGGACCAAAGACUUCCUGGUAGGAACAAAUGCGAAGGGAGAGUAACCACUCCGGCCCAUUCUCUCCCCUCUGCUUCAGGCUCCUGGAAGACUUGCUUUGUUGAUUUCCUUAGUUUCGGUUCUGUGUCAGAGUCCAUGUUCACAGAAAUGUGAAACAAGGAGAGGAAUACCUACUUCCUAGGGUGGUGCCGAGAGCGGAGUGUUUAGAAAGAACACGAACAGUGCCCAGUGUGACAGGAGUUCAAGAAAGUCGUAUUCCUUCCCUUUUACCUUGAUUGCACUGCCUGGUGAGCUCAGCGGAGGUUUAGGGAUGAGAAGUGAGUGGCACAGGGCUCCGAUCGGGGAAGAAUUGCUCACUAGGAACGGACGCAAGUGGAGAUCAUUCCGGAAUGCGGAAGCAGACCCGAAAGGCAAGGACGCUUCUUCUAUGUGGCUACAGUGUGUCAGAUCAGCAGACGGGCUCCCCCGCCCUACCUCUCCUGGUGUCAGCGCCUCCAACUCAGGAACUGCCUGCAAAGUCCAGCCUCCGUCUGCAGGCACGAGCCGCACCGUUAUUUAGUGGAGACCAGACCAAGAUGCAUGAUCUCACUGGAAAAGCACCCACUCGGAGAAUCUCACCUCCCCCUCUCCCAAGCUGCACCGACUCCUGGGGAAUCCGGAGGGAGAGGGCUUGGCCAGGCUGACUAUAUAUAGCAAGGGGACAUUAGCUGGAAUCUUCUGUGUAGGAAAGUGUAAUUUUCUUUCUGCUCUUCUCAAUUACAAAAUAACAAGACUGCUAAAAAUCCAAUAGUAUGGAUGUCAAUAUUGGCGGGGACAGCCACAGGAAACUUAAUUGCACAAUGGGUACCAGUUGAAGACGGUAGGUGCUCUUUCUCGGCUUUUCUUAAUUCUAAUUAGGAAUUUACUGAUCUUACAGACUCACACACAGAGGCUUGUCACCAGGCCAGGAAUGGGUCCCAACAACGUUGGCUUCCUUUUCUGAGUCCCUGGCCUUUCCUUCGCCCCAAACGUCGUCUCCGAUUGGGGCUUGUAGCUGGUUGCGAACAUCAGCUCUCCAGUUUCUUUGCCGUGUCAGAGGACCAGAUGUUUUUUAUUUGAGAGCAAAUUGACACAUUAAAUUACACUGUGCAAACAUUAAAGCCAGCCGCGGGUAAACAGGCCGAGAUUCAUUGAAUUUUACGGGUCACAAUAAUGUUUAUGUAAUUUAACAAAUUCCUGCCCCGCUGCUGAGGCUCUCCCAGAAGUAUUAAUUUAAGAAAGAUGCGACCUGCCCAGAAGCUCCCCAUCGCCCUCCACCCCCCACCUCUGCCU